rnacentral:rRNA from 1 species
ACUCAAAGGAAUUGACGGGGACCCGCACAAGCGGUGGAGCAUGUGGUUUAAUUCGACGCAACGCGAAGAACCUUACCAGGGCUUGACAUCCCUCGCUAUUUAUGGAAACAUGGAGUUCCAGCCUUCGGGUUGGACGAGGAGACAGGUGGUGCAUGGUUGUCGUCAGCUCGUGUCGUGAGAUGUUGGGUUAAGUCCCGCAACGAGCGCAACCCCUACUUUUAGUUGCCAGCAUUAAGUUGGGCACUCUAGAGGAACUGCCGGUGACAAACCGGAGGAAGGUGGGGAUGACGUCAAAUCAUCAUGCCCCUUAUGUUCUGGGCUACACACGUGCUACAAUGGCCGGUACAGAGGGUUGCGAAGCCGCGAGGUGAAGCUAAUCCCAAAAAGCCGGUCUCAGUUCGGAUUGCAGGCUGCAACUCGCCUGCAUGAAGUCGGAAUCGCUAGUAAUCGCAAGUCAGCAUAUUGCGGUGAAUACGUUCCCGGGUCUUGCACACACCGCCCGU